CAGUCGCCACGGUAAUACGAAGGGUGCAAGCGUCAAUCGGAAUUACUGGGCGUAAAGCGUGCGUAGGCGGUUUGUUAAGUCUGUUGUGAAAUCCCCGGGCUCAACCUGGGAAUGGCAAUGGAUACUGGCAAGCUAGAGUGUGUCAGAGGAUGGUGGAAUUCCCGGUGUAGCGGUGAAAUGCGUAGAGAUCGGGAGGAACAUCAGUGGCGAAGGCGGCCAUCUGGGACAACACUGACGCUGAGGCACGAAAGCGUGGGGAGCAAACAGGAUUAGAUACCCCAGUAGUCCCUGUCUCUUAUAC
rnacentral:rRNA from 1 species